rnacentral:rRNA from 1 species
AGAGUUUGAUCAUGGCUCAGAAUCAACGCUGGCGGCGCGCUUAACACAUGCAAGUCGAACGAGAAAGGGGAGCAAUCCCUGAGUACAGUGGCGUACGGGUGAGUAACACGUGGGUCAUCUACCCUUGGGUGGGGAAUAACCCUGGGAAACCGGGGCUAAUACCGCAUAUCUCCGAGAGGAGAAAGUCGCAAGACGCCUAAGGAGGAGCCCGCGGCCGAUUAGCUAGUUGGUAGGGUAAAAGCCUACCAAGGCUCAGAUCGGUAGCCGGCCUGAGAGGGCACUCGGCCACACUGGCACUGAAACACGGGCCAGACUCCUACGGGAGGCAGCAGUGGGGAAUCUUGCACAAUGGGGGAAACCCUGAUGCAGCGACGCCGCGUGAGCGAUGAAGCCCUUCGGGGUGUAAAGCUCUUUCGGCAGGGACGAUUAUGACGGUACCUGCAGAAGCAG